rnacentral:rRNA from 1 species
AUGCAAGUCGAGCGGAUGAAGGGAGCUGCUCCCUGGAUUCAGCGGCGGACGGGUGAGUAAUGCCUAGGAAUCUGCCUGGUAGUGGGGGAUAACGUCCGGAAACGGGCGCUAAUACCGCAUACGUCCUGAGGGAGAAAGUGGGGGAUCUUCGGACCUCACGCUAUCAGAUGAGCCUAGGUCGGAUUAGCUAGUUGGUGGGGUAAAGGCCUACCAAGGCGACGAUCCGUAACUGGUCUGAGAGGAUGAUCAGUCACACUGGAACUGAGACACGGUCCAGACUCCUACGGGAGGCAGCAGUGGGGAAUAUUGGACAAUGGGCGAAAGCCUGAUCCAGCCAUGCCGCGUGUGUGAAGAAGGUCUUCGGAUUGUAAAGCACUUUAAGUUGGGAGGAAGGGCAGUAAGUUAAUACCUUGCUGUUUUGACGUUACCAACAGAAUAAGCACCGGCUAACUUCGUGCCAGCAGCCGCGGUAAUACGAAGGGUGCAAGCGUUAAUCGGAAUUACUGGGCGUAAAGCGCGCGUAGGUGGUUCAGCAAGUUGGAUGUGAAAUCCCCGGGCUCAACCUGGGAACUGCAUCCAAAACUACUGAGCUAGAGUACGGUAGAGGGUGGUGGAAUUUCCUGUGUAGCGGUGAAAUGCGUAGAUAUAGGAAGGAACACCAGUGGCGAAGGCGACCACCUGGACUGAUACUGACACUGAGGUGCGAAAGCGUGGGGAGCAAACAGGAUUAGAUACCCUGGUAGUCCACGCCGUAAACGAUGUCGACUAGCCGUUGGGAUCCUUGAGAUCUUGGUGGCGCAGCUAACGCGAUAAGUCGACCGCCUGGGGAGUACGGCCGCAAGGUUA